UAUAAAUAAAUAUAAUAUUUUGGGGGGUAUACAAAGCAAUUUUUUGCCUUAGUCUGACGACUUAUUUCUCUUUAUGUAUAACUGGUAUUUAAAUCAUUUUCUUUUCACAUUUGAUCUAAGAAAGUUUCAAACUUUCUGUUUAAAGUGUAAUGGUGCUUCUAAGUUAUUUAGUUUUGCCUCUGAAACAUGGUGAAAACAGCAAAACUAUCUGAGCUGUAUAGAGAGGCAGUAUCGUUUCGACAAGUUUUUCCAACUUGUACGAGGAACGACUGUUCCACUCAUAAAGCCGCAUUCAAAUACAAGUCACAUUAAGUCAGACCCCAGGCAAGUCUGUUCAAGGAUCUGUCAGCUUUGUAGAAAAUAUUACGUGAUGAGAUCUGCUGAUGAAGCAGAGCUGCCAGCUGGCUGCAGAAUUUACAGACACAUUAAGCCAGGUUUUUCAACUCGUCUCUCUAACUGCAAAUUAAUUGAUGUUAUGAUGCUCUCCGGAUAGAAUUACCACCGCAAUCAAACAACUGAACGCACGUGAAGUCGCUCACACAAUUUCCACUCACGUUACAUGUUCAAUAAAAUCAAUUCAUUUGCAGUUAGAGAGGAGAGUUAAAAAACCUGACCUGCCUUCAAGUGUCUGUACAUUCUGGAUCCAGCUGGCAACCCUGUGAUGAAGUCACCUGUCUCGAUGAUGCCACUAUUGCAGCUAUUUUGUUUAAAGCAUUCAAAUUCUUGCAAAACAUGAUAAUAACAUUGUUCACUUCAGAGCCCCAUUGCUGUAUAAAUACGACUGCUUCUCUGCAUUAACUUUAUCGACUUGGACAGCUCCAGAUCAGCAGACAAGAUGAAGACUCUGGUGCUUCUUUUCACCCUGGCUUUCCUCUGCAGCUCUGUAGACAUGUUAAAUAGACAACAGAGACGUCCGGAUCUUGGGGAAAGCGAAGCUGGCAAUCCAGUUGCCUGCAGGAGCUGCACCAAAAUGUGUUAUCGUGAUUCUUCCUAAAAACGCAGAAGCUGAAGAAAGACGAACAGAAGAGGAUGAUGAUCGCCCAUCUGUUUAAAAGCAGAUGUUUCUUGUUGUAACUGUAGUACCUCUAAUGUAGUCUAGAAGCAAAUAAAAUGUAAAGCACCUUACUGCUGUGUCUCUGGUUCUUAUUCUAUGUAGUUCAGCAGGGCUGGGGUGCCUGUUCCACUGGUUACAGACACACACACACUAUUUCAGCAUUUAGUACCAUUACUAUGUUGAGGGCCUAGUUUUCUGUUUUUAAUUUCCGGCUCUCUCCACCUCAUUUCCCCCGAGCGACAUGUCUUGCUUUGCCGGAACCCUUUACCAUUUCUACUCUAAUCCCCCUGUGCUUUACUGAAACAGUGUUGCUUGUAAGCCUUGCUGAACUAACACUAAACUGUGUGUGUCUGUGUGCACUAUGAAGCUGUGAGCAGCGUUAGCUUGCUGCUUGUUUAUGACGCUAUACACUUCCCAGUAGAGUGAAGUCAGUGAUUCUCAACCCUGGUCCUGGGGGCCCUCUGUCUGGCUGCUGGUUUUUGUUCCAACUGAGCUGCUCUCAAUUACUUAAUUAAACCCUUAAUCGAAGUAAUAAUUAGUCUAAUUGGAGCCUUUUUUAUCAUUUUAAACAGAUUGCAACUUCAAAUUGUAUAAGAAGCUUGAAUUCACCUGCUUUUUAUGCUAGACCAUUUAAAAAGUCAAAUUAAGCAAAUUAGUUCAAUCAAGAGUUCAAUUAAGUAAUUGAGAACUCCGCUGGAACAUA